CAUUUGACGUCAGUCGCCAUUGCUAAUCUUUAACACCAACGCCAUUUUAUUGUGGAUGGUUGCUGAGGAUUAGUCGAAGACAAAAUUUUAUUUUCAAACAAAUUUUCUUAAAUCAUCUGAAAUUUAUUAUACUUAUUACAAUUAGUCAAUAUGAAACGCGAAGAAGGUGAAAAAAUGGAACCCGAACAGUUCCGCAAAUUAUUUAUUGGUGGAUUAGAUUUCCGUACUACUGAUGAAUCAUUGAAGUCACAUUUUGAACAAUGGGGUACAAUAGUAGACGUUGUUGUUAUGAAAGAUCCUACAACAAAAAGAUCGAGAGGCUUUGGGUUUAUCACUUACUCUAAAGCUCAUAUGGUAGACGAUGCACAAAAUGCUAGACCACACAGAGUGGAUGGAAGGGUAGUCGAACCUAAGAGAGCAGUGCCAAGACAAGAUAUUGGAAGACCGGAAUCAGGAGCUACUGUUAAAAAGUUAUUCGUGGGUGGUAUGAAAGAUGACAUUGAAGAAGAAGAUUUGAAGGAAUAUUUUGGAAAAUACGGAACAAUUUUAACUGUUAGUAUAGUAACAGAUAAGGAGACUGGAAAAAAAAGAGGAUUUGGUUUCGUUGAAUUUGAAGAUUACGAUUCAGUCGAUAAAAUAGUUUUACAACGUAGUCAUAGCAUUAAAGGGAAACAUAUAGACGUUAAAAAAGCACUGAGUAAGGCAGAAAUGGACCGUGCUCCUAGAGGUGGAGGUAGAGGAGGUCCCGUGGGUGGAGCUGGAAGAGGAGGAAACUUCAAUCAAGGAGGUGGAAAUUGGAACCGAGGUGGACAAGGUGAUUGGAAUCAAGGUGGUCCUGGAGGUUAUGGUAAUGGACCUUGGAACCAAGGUCCUUGGCAUAACCAAGGUCCUGGUGGACCAGGGGGGCCAAUGGGGGGUCCUAGUGGACCUUGGGGACAAGGUGGUUUCAAUCAAAAUAGCGGUCCAUGGAAUCAGGGUGGCCAAGAUGGGUUUGGUAACAACUAUCAACAAGGUUAUGGUGGUGGUGCGAUGAGAAACAGUUACCAGCAACCACGAUCCGCUCCAUACAAUGCCGGUGGUUUCGGUGGUGGAGGUUACUCCAAUGGCAACCAAGGAGGUCCUGGGCCAAGGAGAUUUUAAAGCAUAAUUUUAUGAUUAACGAACAAUUCUGCAGAGCGUGGGGCGCAGACGUACAAACACUGAGCUCUACCGGCUCCAUGAACACCCAAGUCUGGUGAUAGAAGUCAAGAGGGCCAAACUCAAAUGGCUAGGUCGCUAGGAGCAUAUGCCUGAGGAGCGGGGGAUGCGCAAAGCGUAUCGGCAGAAGCCCCCUAGGCGAUGGCGCAAACGGUGGAUGGAUGAUGUCGAAGAGGAUCGUCGGGAGCUAGGUGUGAGGGGGUGGAGACGAAUCGUGUUGACUGGAGGAAUGUAGUGGACGAGGCCAAGGCUCUUUGAGGGCCGUAGUGUCAGUGCGUCGACACAACAAGUAUGGUCUUUCGAACAUCGCCAAGGGAUAUGUGAGUAUGUGAAACAGGUAAAAAGUGGAUAAAUCACAUAAAUAUGAAUGGUGCAUACACCUCGAGACACAGAGAUUCACAAAUCUAUUGAAUGGGGUGAUUCGUUAAAGGUAUAUCAAAAAUACACAAUUUUAGUUAAAAAUGUGAGAAAAUCUACACAAAAAAACUUAUUGGUACAAGGGGUCAAUAUUACAAAAUAGAUUUUCUACUUUAUUCCUAUUGAAAAAUUAUUCAAGUCGUGUCCCAUGACGAGUUAAAAGUAUCUAUAUAUGGCAAAAUACUUAUAGUAAAAUCAUGAAAAUUUCUACGUUUGGGAUUUCGGAUACGAUCUUUUUAACUAAAAUAUUGGCCGACUGUAACUUUGUUAUUCUAAAUGUAACACCCUGUAUAUUGAUACAUUUUUGAAAUCUACGAAAGAUUUUGGACUUUUGUAUAAAAACUUUCUUUGAAAAAUUCAUACUUUUUGAGUUAUUAAUUUUUUUGUAAAAAAUCUGACCGCUGCAGACCCUCAUAAAUUAUUUUUUUACGGGAAAACCCUUAAAAAUAUGAAAAUGGUUUUUGUUCGGUUGCCUUUGGCAAGGUCAGACGUAUUCAAAUCUAUGUUGAAACAUUUUUCAUUUUAUACAGGGUGUGUAUAAAAAGUGUUAAACUUCAUAAAUACCAAGUUUCAAAUAGAAUCACCCGGUUUUUUCUAUUUUAAUGCAUUCAGGGGUAGAAAUAAAGCAAGUUCAUGUAUACUUUCGUAUACCAUCAAUCAAAUUUGAUUUUUUUACAGACCUUGACAAGAUAAAACAUACUUUUUUACUUCUUAGUGCUUGUGUCAUCGCGUCAAAAUAAAAUUUAGACUACACCUGCAUCUCUAAAAAUUUACAAAAAACAUUUAAUAUCUGGAUAACGGUAACGUUUGUAUAUAGGAAAGUAUACAUGGAUCUAUCUUAUUUUUUACCCCUGAUGCAUUAGAAUAGAAAAAACCGGGUGAUUCCAUUUAAAAAAAAAAUAAAGAAAUUUGAUAUUUAUGAAGUUAAACUUGGAACACUUUUUAUACACAUCCUGUAUAAAACGAAAAACUUUUCAACAUAGAUUCAAAUACAUUUGACUUUGCUAAAAGCAACCGAGCAGAAACCAUUUUCAUAUUUUUAAGGGUUUCCUCGUAAAAAAAUAAUUUAUAAGGGUCUGCAACGGUCAACUUUUUUGCAAAAAAAUUAACUCAAAAAGUAUGUAUUUUUCGAAAGUUUUCAAACAAAAGUAUACUAAAAUUUUACGUAGAUUUCAAAAAUGUAUUAAUAUACAGGGUGUUCCAUUUAAAAUAACAAAGUUACAGAUGAUUUCCGGUUCUACCGGUAGAACCGGAAGUUGGUCAUCUUUGAAAAUAUUUAAGUUAAAAAUAUCGUAUCCAAAAUCCCAAACGUAGAAAUUUUCAUGAUUUUACAAUAAGUAUUUAGCCAUAUACAGAUAGUUUUAACUCGUCGUGGGACACCCUGUAUAACCCAAUUAUUAUAUUGUAUAUCAAUGUUGAAAUACGAUUUUAUAAAAAAUUCAAAUUACCAGAAAGUGGGAUGUACAACAAAUACCUUCAAAAGACAUAAAAAUGGAAACGUCAAUAAAAUUUCUCGGUAUUUGGUCACACGCUAAGCUGGAACCAUCAUAUUAGAAAUCUUCUAACUUGCAACAAACGAUUAAAUAUUACUGAAAAUGCUAACGAACAAAGAACGGAGUGCAGAUCGACAAACAUUACUAACAUUGUACCGAACACUUAUUCGAUCAGAACUAGACUAUGGAUCAAUUGUAUAUUUAACAGCAAUCAAAUCGCUUCUGACAAAAACUCGAUAGCUUUCACAAUUCAGCCUCACGUUUGAUAACAGUUGCAUUCGAAACAACACCAGUGGAAAGUCGGGAAAGGAGGCAGAACAUUAUAUUUGAGCAUGAAUCCAUAAUAAUUCCAAUACUAAAACCGCAAACCAUUAGAACCCAUCCUGAAUCCUAUCGACACGACAAGAAAACACGUUCGUUUCAAACCGCUAUUGCGCACAAAUUCUAUAAUAGUGACGGAAACGUGUUUUGGGACGUGCAUAGACAAGAUAACUAGAUACCCAACGCAUUACUCGUAGGCGCGCAAUCUCGUUGUUUAAUAGCCAGACCUCGUAUUAUCAUAAUAUUAUAGUAGAAAUUCGAUUAUCCGGCCCUCAGUUAUACGGAUUCGCGAUUAUCCGGACUAUCAACUUAAUAGCCAGACCUCGUAUUAUCACAAUAUUAUAGUAGGAAUUCGAUUAACCGGCCCUCAGUUAUACGGACUCGCGAUUAUCCGGACUAUCAACUUAAUAGCCAGACCUCGUAUUAUCAUAAUAUUAUAGUAGGAAUUCGAUUAUCCGGCCCUCAGUUAUACGGAUUCGCGAUUAUCCGGACUAUCAACUUAAUAGCCAGACCUCGUAUUAUCAUAAUAUUAUAGUAGGAAUUCGAUUAUCCGGCCCUCAGUUAUACGGAUUCGCGAUUAUCCGGACUAUCAACUUAAUAGCCAGACCUCGUAUUAUCAUAAUAUUAUAGUAGGAAUUCGAUUAUCCGGCCCUCAGUUAUACGGAUUCGCGUUUAUCCGGACUAUCAACUCAAUAGCCAGACCUCGUAUUAUCACAAUAUUAUAGUAGGAAUUCGAUUAUCCGGCCCUCAGUUAUACGGAUUCGCGAUUAUCCGUACUAUCAACUCAAUAGCCAGACCUCGUAUUAUCAUAAUAUUAUAGUACGAAUUCGAUUAUCCGGCCCUCAGUUAUACGGAUUCGCGAUUAUCCGGACUAUCAACUUAAUAGCCAGACCUCGUAUUAUCAUAAUAUUAUAGUAGGAAUUCGAUUAUCCGGCCCUCAGUUAUACGGAUUCGCGAUUAUCCGUACUAUCAACUCAAUAGCCAGACCUCGUAUUAUCAUAAUAUUAUAGUACGAAUUCGAUUAUCCGGCCCUCAGUUAUACGGAUUCGCGAUUAUCCGGACUAUCAACUUAAUAGCCAGACCUCGUAUUAUCACAAUAUUACAGUAGGCAUUCGAUUAUCCGGCCCUCAGUUAUAUGGAUUCGCGAUUAUCCGGACUAUCAACUUAAUAGCCAGACCUCGUAUUAUCACAAUAUUAUAGUAGGAAUUCGAUUAUCCGGCCCUCAGUUAUACGGACUAUCAACUGCGACCAAUUAAAUAAUUGAGUAAUAUUGAGCCAAGUUACAAAAUGUUUAACGUAUGUACUAAAAGUCGAAUUUAUGCAAGCACGAACGAGUCGGAACUGGCAUUACCCCGCCCGCGCCCCAAGGGAUCGCUGCCCCGCGCGCGUUUCGUUAUUGUUUUAGUUAGUUGUCACUUCGCUAUGAUGUGCGUGUCGCGUCUAAAUAUUUGAAAAUUUCAAAGCGUAAGAGAGUGGUGUUAUCGCUCAAAGACAUAAUAAAAAUUAUUGUAAGUUGGCUGUUGAGUAUGGUGUAGGUCAGGGGCCGGCAACCUUUUGUGUCAGGAGGGCCAAAAAUUACAAUUUACAAAAUUUCAAAGUUUCUAAAGAGCCACAAAAUUUUUUAUUAUCAAUAAUAAUAAGUAUAAACUGAUCUUUCAUUUAUAAAAGUAGUGUUUUUCACAAUAAAUUGGAUAAUUUAAAUACACAAUCAUUUAAGUGAAAGAAAUAAAACAAAUAAACAUUUACCCACAACUCUAACUUCAAUAACAAACAAUUGGACCAACAAAUUCAAUGGAAGCAAACUUGUUUUAAAUUUCAAACAUGACUCUAAAUUUUCAUUUAUCAGUUGACUUUAAUAGUCAGCUAUUCAAAUAGCAAUUUCUUCCCCUCACUGUAGAAGCUUUGCAGACUAUUCCAUCCGUCGAAUCGUUGUUGUCCCUUUAUUUUUCCCUGUUAUACUUCUUGCUCCAUCAGUUGUUAUUGAGACGAUUUUCUUUAAAUUGAUCUCAUUGUCUUCAAAACAUUUUUGCGCGGUAUUCGCUGUACCUUCUCUAGUUUGUCCCGAGAGAGAUAGCAAUCUUAGAAGUUCUUCUUUGGACCUUGAGACGACAUAUAUCAAACAAAUUUGUACCUUGUCUUUUAUGUCGCAUGACUUAACGAUAGCGAGUGAUAGAAGAGGCAGAUUAAAUAUCUUCCACCUUCAAAUAUGUUACAUUAGACAUUUCAGCUAUUCUAUCUUCUACUGUUCUAGCGGAUAAUGGUAGAUUUUUUAUUUUUCUCAAGAUUUCUGGUUUGUUAUGAAACAUUUCUUUACGUGGAUCGCGAGGAGGGGACGAAAAAAGCAAGUAGAAGUCGCUAAGAGAGAUAGAAUCGAUACUUAAUCCUUAUUAAUAGAUUCAGAACGAUUAUUGAAUAUUUUUUUUAUAAAAUCAAUAAUAUUUGCGUGUGGUACUAAAAAGCCGCAACUUCACAUCCAAAGAGCCGCGGGUUCCGACUCAUGGUGUAGGUACAUCCACGAUAAGUUAUAUAAAGAAGAAUGCCGAUUCAAUUUUGUUGUACACCUGCAAAUUAGAUAGUGAAGACGGAAGUAAACAUCGGGAAAUGAUGUAAAAACCGAAAAACGAACUUUUAGAAGACGCUUUGUAUUGUUGGUUUUUACAAAAACGAUCAACUGGGCGACCGAUAUCUGGACCUUUACUCUGUGAAAAAGCAUUACAGUUAAAUAAAAAAUUUGAUUGUGAUGAAUCGUUUGUUGCAAGUAACGGAUGGUUGUACAGAUUUAAAUAUCGUCAUGGAAUUCGUGAAUUGGAAAUACAAGGUGAAAAAAUGUCCAGCUAAUGUAGACGCAACAAACUCUUUUAAAGGUGGUUUUUAGAAGAAAUUGGAUGAAAAUAACUAUGACUUGGAUUUUGUCUAUAAUGCUGAUGUAACCGGAUUAAACUUGACAUCAUUACCUUGAAAAUCUUUGGUUUCUAGGCGAGACAAUUCAGCUCCAGGAUAUAAAACUAGCAAAGAGCGGGUAAGUAGAUUAGUGUGCGCUAAUGCAAUCGGGGCCCAUAAAAUACCUUUGCUCUUUAUCGGAAAAUAAAAAAACCAGGUGUUUUAAAAAUAUCAGAGUGCCCUUAAUUUAUAAAAAUCACAAAAACCCAUGGAUGAACUCUGAAAUAUUCAUUGUCAUCACUUUUAUCCCUGAAAUUAAAAAAAAAAACAAAACCAAAUUCGCAAGCAAGGUAAUGUACUACUUUACUGGAUAAUGCGACUAUGAUUCUAAAAAAUUUCAAAAACAUAUCAAGCAACGCGAGGAGUAAGAUGAGGAUGUAUACUAAUCCCCUUCUCGGUUGCUUUUGAUGAGAGUAUAAAAGAAGCAACACUCAACAAGGUGGGAUAUUGGAAUAUAGAAUAGGUCAAAGUUAAAGACGAGACUAUAGAACUACGAUAAAAACUGAGAAAUAUAUAAUGCAAACUUUGAGUACAUCUACAUGAAGAUAAAUAAGAAACAAACCGGAACAAGUUAAAUACGUAGGCUCAAACAUAAUGUAACAGACAAUGAACGAACAGAACAAUCGGACAUACGCGGUUCUGGUUAGAUGGAGAUAACUGAAGAUGGCGGAUUAGUACGUAGGCUACGGGAGUCCCACAUUUCCAUCAGAGCACCUGGUCGAAUCCGUUACUUUACUGCGCAUUCGAUGUAAUUCGUUUCUCAAUAUAGAACAGGAUACAAAGAAAGUUAUUUCCGUCAAAUGUUAGAGGUGUUCCUUUUGAUUUCUUGUAUCGUGUCCCUUCUGCCUUUUUAUUUCUCUACUCGUUUAUUUCAUUUCACGAAUCACCACACGAUGAAACAAAGAUCUAAAUUAAAACAGAAGCUGUUUAAUAUUACUACGUCUAUGAAUGCAUUACAUUAAUGAAAUCGCACAGAAAAACAUUCUCAAAACUCCACCAAACAAGUUAUAGUUCUUCCAAUAUCAAUUGCAGAUUAUAAAUACCCUUGACGACAAUUUUGUUUGAUCUACCAUAGGCGUGGAUACCUCAUUUUAUAAAUUUAUUAUUUUUAUAAAUACUUUUAAAAGUAUGUAUAUCUUAUGAGAGAAAGUAUUCGUUAAAAGGCAAUCGAAUCAUUAUAAAUUGGACGGCAUUAUACGCCGUUAUUUAGACAGAUGCACUUAAUUGUAGUCCUACUUGGAACUUGGAAAAAAAUCAUUAUUAUACCUCGUUAACAUGCUACAACUGAAUAUUAUAUUAUAAAACGUAAAUAGACGAGUAAAAUGUACUUAUCUGUAAGGAAGUUUGGUUUAAACAGGGUACUAGACGUGACUGAGCCCUUUUUAUACUCCAUUCGUCUAUUAGAAUGUCUGUAGUCUUAUAUCUGACUCAAAUAAUCUUGUCGCCAUCGAACUAUCCUUGACUAUUCGGUUAUUGCCAUCCUUUUAUUCAGUUUUUUGUGGAUAAUUAAAUUCUGGAUAAUAUGCUGCAUUACUUCUGUAAAUUGUCCUACAUAUAAAAUCUUGAGUACCUUUGUAAACUGAUUUCAAUUUUUCUUAACAUGUUUUUCAGUUCUGUGAAUGAUCCACAGCAACCUCCUAGUUAAUUCAGCAAUUCUUAUUAUGAUUGCAUUAUCAGAUUGCUGAAUAUUUUUCUAAAUCUUUAUUAUUAAAUUUAUACCUGUGUUUAUUCUCACUUCACUGUGCAAUUUCAUUGUUUUCAUACGCUUAUGGUCCAAAGAACUCCCAUAUUUCUAUUUUUUUAAAGAAAUUUAUGAAUUAAAUAAAUCUCACCAAGCCACGCCGCUGCUUAUCACAGACUGUCUGGCAGGAAUAUUUCAAAGAAAUAUACAUACGCCUUCCGCGUCGGCCAAUAGAAAUGCAUUUAUGUUUACCAUUCGAUGUUUUCAUUGGUUUGUUAGAUGUUUACCGUAUUUUAUACAGGGAGUGAACAUUAUUUUCCAUUUCUUAAUUUGGUAUAAGUGCCGUCCGUAUUUAUGGAAUAAUAUUGAUUUCUAUAACUGUCUUCUGCAAUUGAUAUUUGAAAAACUAAAUCACAAUAAUUGAUAAGAUUAUGGAAGACAUAAACACGAGAUGUUUAGAUAACUUUAAUGAUCACAAUUAUAAUUAAUCAACAACUUUCGCAUCGUUUUAGCUGUUUUGAUGUCCAGUUAAGUUAGGCUCUAAACUGAUAACGCAUAAUUAACUUGAUCUUUUAUCAUAUGAGUAAAUUGUCUACAAAGAUAAUUGGCGAUUUAGCGAUAUUUUAGGACUUCAAAAGUACAGUUUAUUGGUUGGACAUGCUUAAUGAAUCAUCCUGUAUGUAUAAGCCAAAAUUCAAACAUUUUAGUAAUUAAUACUAGAUGGGAAGGGUGUAUUUCAUUUUCAGAUAAAUUAUAUUUUCAAUGUAGUGCUUAUGACAAAAAAAUCACUCAUCAAUAUCAUAAUUCUGUAUAAUAAAAAUUGAAAUUAAUUUCAUACAAUAAAGAUAAGAUUUUAUAAGAA